rnacentral:sRNA from 1 species
CACUGCUGCUACGCAAGGAUGUGUACAGCGUCAUGGAAGACAGACCCCAGGCCAGGAUGGCCGACGACAGGAGUCGUGAUGGUCGGCAAAGAACCCGCUUCGGCGGGUUUUUU